rnacentral:rRNA from 1 species
UACGUAGGGUGCGAGCGUUAAUCGGAAUUACUGGGCGUAAAGCGUGCGCAGGCGGUGAUGUAAGACAGAUGUGAAAUCCCCGAGCUCAACCUGGGAACUGCAUUUGUGACUGCAUCGCUGGAGUGCGGCAGAGGGGGAUGGAAUUCCGCGUGUAGCAGUGAAAUGCGUAGAUAUGCGGAGGAACACCGAUGGCGAAGGCAAUCCCCUGGGCCUGCACUGACGCUCAUGCACGAAAGCGUGGGGAGCAAACAGG